rnacentral:rRNA from 1 species
UGGGGAAUAUUGCACAAUGGGCGCAAGCCUGAUGCAGCAACGCCGCGUGAAGGAUGAAGGUUUUCGGAUUGUAAACUUCUAUCGACAGGGACGAAUAAUGACGGUACCUGAGUAAGAAGCCCCGGCUAACUACGUGCCAGCAGCCGCGGUAAUACGUAGGGGGCAAGCGUUAUCCGGAUUUACUGGGUGUAAAGGGUGAGUAGGCGGUUUAGCAAGUCAUAUGUGAAAUUUCAAAGCUCAACUUUGAAACUGCAUAAGAAACUGUUAAACUUGAGUGCAGGAGAGGUAGGCGGAAUUCCUAGUGUAGCGGUGAAAUGCGUAGAUAUUAGGAGGAACACCAGUGGCGAAGGCGGCCUACUGGACUGAAACUGACGCUGAGUCACGAAAGCGUGGGGAGCAAACA